UGUUUUAUCCAAUGCAUUAUCUAUUCAAAGGAAUAGGAAAGGAAAACAGGGAUUAAUUCUCAGCAAUGAAGAUGUAAAGAUGUGGAGUGGACCCUGAGGAACAGGAAACUAUCGACCUGACAAAGUAUUUUGGCUAUACCUGCAGUGGACUGUUGAUGACUUAUUCAUAUUGCGAGCAGGCUUCCCUGAGCCCACUAGGAAGAGCUGUAAUGCUCAUUGCUAUUCCAUCCCAGAACAGGUCUGCUUAGCUACUGGCCACAUGAAGAAGUAAGGAAGCAGUAACCCGGGGAACAUGAGU